rnacentral:lncRNA from 1 species
CCGAGAGAGAGAAAUAGUCACAAAUCACCAGCUCGAGACCAGAAGGCAGAAACGACAGACGACAGCAGAACAUAUCGUUGGCGGCUUUGGGCUCCAACAACUCCUCCUCCUCGUGGCGUCGGUGCUGCUUCUUCUUCGAUUUUGAAUAGAAUUAUAGAAUGGAGUGUGUGCCGUCUAGACAAGAGAGUGGAGGAGAGGAAAAGCGUUUGGCUUUCACCCUUCACAAUUUGGGCAAUUGGAUUCUUGGAAUUGAUUUGAAAAUAGAAUAGAUAUGAUCAUUAGGAAAUUGGACCAUUUGUUAUUUCGUUCAUUUGGGAAUUUAAUGGGCUAAACAAAAAGAGGCCCAACAUCUUAUUAACUUAAUUACUCACUUCCGUCCAAACAAAAAAAAAUAGGUCGUCUCUUUCAUCUUCGUCUUCCAAGUUCCAUCUCGAGCCAGCUCUGCAAGUCUGCAACUGCAACCUACUGCUGAUUGCUUCCUGACGGUUCUGAAUAUUUCGACGGAGCAAGCACAUGCGAUCGUGCCUCCUCGUCGGGUGCUGGCUCCGCCCCUGAUAACAACUUAGUCUCUUUUUAACGACAUUAAAACUUAGCUUCUUGCCUUCUUCGAUUCCCCUUGAAGUAGAGGGAACCUUCUUUCUCUCUUUUGUGGGACGAUGUAUCACUUUUUUGACAAAAAAAAAGUCACGUUUUAAUAAAAGUUGUUGUAUGUGCACUCUAUUAAAAAAUAAUUUCACUUAUUAUGUUACUUUUAUAUUUGAAAUCCUGCCUCCAUAGCAUAUGAAGACGUUAUUUUUAUCGAUAUAUGAAAAAAGAAUACAAGUGAAAUAAUGUGAAAUUUUUUAAAAAUAAUAAUAAUAACAAAGUAUGUCACCUUGAAAUUUCACCAUAUUAAUUCAUAUGCAAAAGACAAGUGUUAAGUUAUCUCACAUGUAUGUGAGAAUUUCACAUUGUUGCUUUAGACCCAUGUGAAUUCUAUUUUCAAUUAAAG